rnacentral:misc_RNA from 1 species
GUAGGUGAACCUGCGGAAGGAUCAUUAUCGAAUUAUAAGCGAGGGUUGUAGCUGGCCUCCCUUUCGAGGCAUGUGCACGCCUGAGCUCUUAAAUCCACAACACACCUGUGAACCCACCGUAGGCCUUCGGGCUUAUGUAUCAUAUACUCUGAAUGUGUCAUAGAAUGUUCAUGUUGCCUUAAAACGCAAUCAAAUACAACUUUCAACAACGGAUCUCUUGGCUCUCGCAUCGAUGAAGAACGCAGCAUCU